UAUUGUUAGUAAAAUUAACUCCAUUUAUGAAUUAACCUAAUCCGUUUUCAAUCAACCAUACUGAUUUUCCAUUAUAUAUUUAGCUGAAUUGUCAUUGUGGAAUUUAUAUGUUUUGUUGUAAAUUGAUGUUACCUUCAACUUAUAAAGGAUACAUUGACCUUUCUAAUUCUAUCUUGUGCUUCUUGACUUUUGAAGGUCUUUUGACAAUGAACUUUUUUGUGAGAAUAUAAUUUCUUAUCCAAUGAAUAAUUCAUAUAUUUAAGCAUAGAUAACCUUCAAAUUGUUCUUCUCUUGUCAGAACCAGUAUGUCUAGAUCACACUGUCACGUGUUUUACUCUUGGUAGAAUCUGUACAUAAUUUGAUGUAAAUAUCUUAAACUUCAGUUUCUUAGCAAAAAUAUUACUUUUGAAACCAAGUAUGUGGAGGAUAUUUCUCAGCCAAUUUGUAUUCGAUAAUUCAACAAUUUGUUGUUUCACUUUGAGAUGCUCUAUUGGAGAGCAGACUGAUUUCCAUUUGCUUAAGAAACUGAUAUGGAAAGCCUCUUUUCUGCUAGAAUUUUUAUCAAGGAAAAUAUGAAAGGCUGCUGGGGAAUGUAUAGUUAAGUUUACUCGAAUUAUUGCAGGAUGAUUCUUAUGCUUGGCCCCCAAGUUGCAGGAAGACCACACUUUUAAAGGCUCUCUCUGGAACUCCUGACAAAUCUCUAAAGAGAUAACAGGGGAAAAGUCUUCUUCAGUGGUUACCGGUUUGAUGAGUUUGUUCCCAGAAAAUGUCAGCUUACAUAUGCCAAGAGAGGAAUCAAUUCCCACGAGUAGUGUCUGAAACUGAGAAAUUAGGCUUGAUUUUUCUACAUGAUAUCUUAGUGUCUGAAACUGAGAAAUUAGGCUUCUUAUAAUUUAAUUCAAUGAAGUUACGGUCACAGCCGCCUCAUCAAUUCCCACGAGUAGUUGAUUGGUACAGAGCAAUUUUUUUUUUCUGCCUGUGCAGAUAUGAUGAUGGAAGUCAGUAAAAGAGAGGAAUCAACAAUUGUUCCGGAUGUAGACGUAGAUACUUUCACGAAGGUAUCUUCAUUAUAUUUGAUGUUUUGUUUAUAUCUGAUGUUUUGUUCGAUAUGUUGUUGCUACAUGGGUGAAAUAUUCAUGGCAAUGGUAGUUACUGGAGGCAAUUUCUACCAAAGGACAACAAAUACCCCUCAAACAGAUCAUGUUUUAACUGUCUUCAGACUUCCCAGGUCCUUGGACUCGAUAUUUUUUCUGACAUAAUUGUGGGAGAGGCAUCUCUGGAGGUCAAAAAAGGAGAUCGAGUACGGGUAAUAUUUUAUAAUGCAUCUGCUCCACUUGGAAGUAAUGUUUAGAGUAUAGAUGAUUCAAAGGAUUAGAUGCCUGCAGCAGAUUGUUGUUCCCACAAAAACUUAAUUAUGGUUGAGAUAUGCAAUGGUUUAGACAGUUCAA